AUUGAACGCUGGCGGCAGGCCUAACACAUGCAAGUCGAGCGGUAGAGAGAAGCUUGCUUCUCUUGAGAGCGGCGGACGGGUGAGUAAUGCCUAGGAAUCUGCCUGGUAGUGGGGGAUAACGUUCGGAAACGAACGCUAAUACCGCAUACGUCCUACGGGAGAAAGCAGGGGACCUUCGGGCCUUGCGCUAUCAGAUGAGCCUAGGUCGGAUUAGCUAGUUGGUGAGGUAAUGGCUCACCAAGGCGACGAUCCGUAACUGGUCUGAGAGGAUGAUCAGUCACACUGGAACUGAGACACGGUCCAGACUCCUACGGGAGGCAGCAGUGGGGAAUAUUGGACAAUGGGCGAAGCCUGAUCCAGCCAUGCCGCGUGUGUGAAGAAGGUCUUCGGAUUGUAAAGCACUUUAAGUUGGGAGGAAGGGCAGUUACCUAAUACGUGAUUGUUUUGACGUUACCGACAGAAUAAGCACCGGC
rnacentral:rRNA from 1 species